GACGAACGCUGGCGGCGUGCUUAACACAUGCAAGUCGAACGGAAAGGCCCUGCUUUUGUGGGGUGCUCGAGUGGCGAACGGGUGAGUAACACGUGAGUAACCUGCCCUUGACUUUGGGAUAACUUCAGGAAACUGGGGCUAAUACCGGAUAGGAGCUCCUGCUGCAUGGUGGGGGUUGGAAAGUUUCGGCGGUUGGGGAUGGACUCGCGGCUUAUCAGCUUGUUGGUGGGGUAGUGGCUUACCAAGGCUUUGACGGGUAGCCGGCCUGAGAGGGUGACCGGCCACAUUGGGACUGAGAUACGGCCCAGACUCCUACGGGAGGCAGCAGUGGGGAAUAUUGCACAAUGGGCGGAAGCCUGAUGCAGCAACGCCGCGUGCGGGAUGACGGCCUUCGGGUUGUAAACCGCUUUCGCCUGUGACGAAGCGUGAGUGACGGUAAUGGGUAAAGAAGCACCGGCUAACUACGUGCCAGCAGCCGCGGUGAUACGUAGGGUGCGAGCGUUGUCCGGAUUUAUUGGGCAUAAAGGGCUCGUAGGUGGUUGAUCGCGUCGGAAGUGUAAUCUUGGGGCUUAACCCUGAGCGUGCUUUCGAUACGGGUUGACUUGAGGAAGGUAGGGGAGAAUGGAAUUCCUGGUGGAGCGGUGGAAUGCGCAGAUAUCAGGAGGAACACCAGUGGCGAAGGCGGUUCUCUGGGCCUUUCCUGACGCUGAGGAGCGAAAGCGUGGGGAGCGAACAGGCUUAGAUACCCUGGUAGUCCACGCUGUAAACGGUGGGUACUAGGUGUGGGGUCCAUUCCACGGGUUCCGUGCCGUAGCUAACGCUUUAAGUACCCCGCCUGGGGAGUACGGCCGCAAGGCUAAAACUCAAAGGAAUUGACGGGGCCCCGCACAAGCGGCGGAGCAUGCGGAUUAAUUCGAUGCAACGCGUAGAACCUUACCUGGGUUUGACAUGGAUCGGGAGCGCUCAGAGAUGGGUGUGCCUCUUUUGGGGUCGGUUCACAGGUGGUGCAUGGCUGUCGUCAGCUCGUGUCGUGAGAUGUUGGGUUAAGUCCCGCAACGAGCGCAACCCUUGUUCACUGUUGCCAGCACGUUAUGGUGGGGACUCAGUGGAGACCGCCGGGGUCAACUCGGAGGAAGGUGGGGAUGACGUCAAGUCAUCAUGCCCCUUAUGUCCAGGGCUUCACGCAUGCUACAAUGGCUGGUACAGAGAGUGGCGAGCCUGUGAGGGUGAGCGAAUCUCGGAAAGCCGGUCUCAGUUCGGAUUGGGGUCUGCAACUCGACCUCAUGAAGUCGGAGUCGCUAGUAAUCGCAGAUCAGCAACGCUGCGGUGAAUACGUUCCCGGGGCU
rnacentral:rRNA from 1 species